ACGGCUUUGCCUCCUCCACCACCAUUGACGUCAGGGACGCUGCAGGUUCCAGGACAUCCAGCUGGUAGCACUUACUCAGAACAAGAUCUUCUUCGUCAGGAACUAAACACACGCUUCUUGGCCUCCCAGAGCGCAGACCGCGGCGCGUCCCUCGGCCCACCGCCCUACCUGAGGA